CGAACAUAAAAUAAAAACAGCAAGACGCGUGAAACCGGUGACCGAUGCUUAGAUAAUUAAUUUCCAGGAAUAUUAUAUAGAAAACGUGAGUAACGAAAUAAUGUAGAUAGGCGUAACUCUGAACAACGGGGUGCUGGGUCCCUCCAAGUAUAUGUAACGCUACCCGAAUCACCGUCUAACCAGGUGAGUUCACCACGAUCAAAUGCGAGCAACUUCACGACAUUCUGCUUUAUGAAUUAUUUUUUGACUUGUAAUAUUUUUGUGGAUUUAAUUUAA